UACGAAGGGGGCGAGCGUUGUUCGGAAUUACUGGGCGUAAAGGGCGCGUAGGCGGCCGAUCAAGUCAGAUGUGAAAGUCCCGGGCUUAACCUGGGGACUGCAUUUGAUACUGAUUGGCUUGAAUGCAGGAGAGGAUAGCGGAAUUCCCAGUGUAGAGGUGAAAUUCGUAGAUAUUGGGAAGAACACCGGUGGCGAAGGCGGCUAUCUGGACUGUGAUUGACGCUGAGGCGCGAAAGCGUGGGGAGCAAACAGG
rnacentral:rRNA from 1 species